UAAGGUGAAAAAACUUCGUGUAUUAGAUAUAUAUGUAUAAGCAUGGUGAUAUUUUAAUCUUUUGGUGAGAGUCGUAAUUAUGUUUGCUGCAGUAUGAACACAAGUAAAUUAUGAGUUGACUAUUUGAAGAAACCAUCCCCAUUUUCCUUUUUUAUUGUGUUUGCCAAUUAGUUCAGUUUUUCUUCUGAAUUUUAUCAUCAUUGUGCUGUUGAAAUACCCCAGACAAUUUUGUGGGUGAUUUUUAUAACUAGUGUGUGUUAUACCACAAAUACAAUGGCAGUAUCAGGAAUUUAUUCGCUCCCUGGGUCUAGAAGUCCAGAAGUAGAUCAAUGCACAAUCCAUAGUUUAUAAUAUUUGCUCAUCUUUUCUUUAUAGGCUUGUCUUUUUCUGAGUCGUUACAAUCAGAAGUGUACAUAGUCAUCAUUUUUUUUGGAAUAUUUUUUCUGGCAUGUAAAAUCUUCUCAAUUAAGGAAUGAGGCAUGUAAAACAGUCUCAGACAUACACAUUCUGAGAAUAAUUUUACCACAUAAAAAGCCAAACUAAAAGAUUUCAGAGGAAGCAAUUUAAUAAAGAGACAAAUGUCCAGAAGCAUAGAUCUGAUGAUGAUCAAUAUUAAACCCAUCAGGUGCCCUCAUAAUAUUUAAUAGGCCGUUGUCAAACUUGGAUUAAGCAUCAUAGAAACUUGAAUUUGAUGUUUGGAUAAAAUUGACAAGACACAGACUGGUGAGGUUAUAGUGAUGACCUUGGGAUGAAGAGGCAAAUAGUGACAUCAUAUCACAGUGCCUAAUGUCGUGCAUAGCAAUGACCAUCACUUCUCUUUCCCCUACAGAUGCCUCAGUCUUUGUGUAGCCAGAGGUGUGGUCCAGGAUUCAGGAAAAUUCACAGGAAGGAAAAUAUACCUGCUGCUAUACUUGUGUUGUUUGUCCAGAGAGACAUUUCCAAUCAUACAGUGGUUCCCACAGGGUAUGUGAAUUUCACCGGAGUAAUAGCAUCAUUGUUUCCUGGAAUAUGAACACUAUGCAAAGGCAAAAAGAGAAAGCAGUCAAAUGAUGGAGUACACAAUUACAGAAUAAUGCCUAUAAUCAUGGAAUCUACCGAUAGUUGUGAUAAAGAUAUGCUGUCCAAAUAACAAGACAGUAAUUAUUGACUAAGAUGUUUGUGAACAAUACAGUGUCCAAAGUGAAGAAUGCUCAAGGAUUAGUUGACUCUUGUGUUUGGGAAAUAAAUUCCACUAAAUUAUACCA
rnacentral:lncRNA from 1 species